AACGAACGCUGGCGGCAUGCCUAACACAUGCAAGUCGAACGAGACCUUCGGGUCUAGUGGCGCACGGGUGCGUAACGCGUGGGAACCUGCCCUUAGGUUCGGAAUAACUCCCCGAAAGGGGUGCUAAUACCGGGUAAUGUCCUCGGACCAAAGAUUUAUCGCCUUUGGGUGGGCCCGCGUUGUAUUAGCUAGUUGGUAGGGUAAAAGCCUACCAAGGCGACGAUCCAUAGCUGGUCUGAGAGGAUGAUCAGCCACACUGGGACUGGGACACGGCCCAGACCCUACGGGAGGCAGCAGUGGGGAAUAUUGGACAAUGGGCGAAAGCCUGAUCCAGCAAUGCCGCGUGAGUGAUGAAGGCCUUAGGGUUGUAAAGCUCUUUUACCCGGGAUGAUAAUGACAGUACCGGGAGAAUAAGCUCCGGCUAACUCCGUG
rnacentral:rRNA from 1 species